GUCUUUUUAGGGCCACACCUGCGACAUAUGGAAGUUCCCAGGCUAGAGGUCGAAUCGGAGCUAUAGCUGCCGGCCUCCACCACAGCCGCAUCAGAUUCGAGCAGCGUCUGUGACCUACAGCCAGCUCACGGCAACACCAGACCCCUAACCUACUGAUCAAGGCCAGGGAUUGAACUCGUGUCCUCACAGAUACUAGUCAGGUUCAUAACCCACUGAAUCACACUGGGACUUCCCCAUCCCUUUCUCUUCUUACCAUAGGAUCCCACAGGCCACUGGUUCUCAUCCUUGACUGAUUGCAAUCACUUUGGGGAGCUCGAAAAGGAAGAACAAAACACACAACACACUGUUUAUGUCCCCAAAUCUCUGAUCCAGACAGUGCCUGGGCAGCAGCAUUCAAGGCAGCGAGCACAGAGAACAUGGCCAGAGACCGAAGGGGACAGUGGGAAAAUUGCUGUGUGGUGGCGUGGUGGCAGGAGUAAUUUUUUUUUUUUUUGCCUUUUCUAGGGCUGGGCCUGCGGCAUAUGGAGGUUCCCAGGCUAAGGGUCGAAUCGGAGCUGUAGCCUCCGGCCUAUGUCAGAGCCACAGCAAUGCGGGACCCGAGCCGCCUCUGCGACCCACACCACAGCUCACAGCAAUGCUGGAUCCUUAACCCACUGAGCAAGGCCAGGGAUUGAACCUGUAACCUCAUGGUUCCUAGUCAGAUUCGUUAACCACUGCGCCACGACAGGAACUCCAGGAGUAAUUUUUUACAGCUAAGAUGCUCCAUAGAAAGAAAACAUGGGAAGAACUAAAGUAUUAAGUUAUCUUAGGUCUUUUCCAACCCCAUUCUUCAUCUUCAGAAAAGCGUAACUGACAUGUCAGUCUAGUUCAGUGGUUCUCAAAGGGUGAUCCAGGAACCCCCAAUCCCCGUGACUCUCAGGAGUCCAGAAUCCAAGGUACUCCCCUAACAACAUUGGUAUUUGCCUUGUUCACUUUUCCUCACAAGCUUAGUGUUUUCCAGAGGAUAAAUAAUGUGACAGCAAUGACAUGGCUCUGUAGCAAAUGUCGUCUUAAAAACAAUUCCGUUUCUAACAGGACACCUAUCAACUGAUAGAGCCCUAAAGACAAAACUCCUUGACAGUCUUCAGUACAUUUUAAAGGAGUAAGGGGGUUCCUGAGAGCAAAAAUUUGGAAUCAUAGCCAGGAUCCAGGGACCUAAAAUUUUCAUUUUUCCUUUAGCUCUGGGUAUAGACUUGUCUAAUCUGUUCUUUAAAGUCAGUUUUGACAAAUGGUGAGUCAACACCUGGGCUUGUGGGUUUUUUAGUCACUAAAAACAAUACCGCCUAAGAGCCAACAGAAUAGGAAGAACUUCUGGGAAGCAACGAGCAGCCCGUCUGGAACAUGAAUCAAAGCAUGAAACGAAUCUGCAACUUGGAUUCGCUCCACAGAUUGCAGAGUAACUAGACAAGGGGUUCGGGAACCCAGAGGGUCUGGACCCAACUGGCUGUAUGUUGGGUGAAACGUGCAACAGCUUGGAAGUCACUUCAAGUGGGAACCCACCCAAUUCCAGACCCACUCACGAGCCCCGGCAGACGGGGCACAUGCCGUUUCCCUCCCCGCCACCAGGUCGUUCCUUAAAUCAGACACCAGCACGAGGUUGUCAUUCACUUUUCCGCAUACUUUAUUUGUUACAAACAUACAAUUUUUUAAAUAUAGACUGUAAAACUCCAUUUGCAAAAGUCUGUUAUGGUAAGGAGUGCACACCAGCAGUAGGAUUUUUUUCUCUAUGAGUUUUUUUCUUGUCAGUUUUGCUAGUUAGUGGUAAGUACGGGACCCGCCAUUGACAGACCUGUCUGAAGCUUCUGGCUGUAUUCACGUUGCUCUUUUGAAGCAGCCCUGCUCGUCUCAAAAUUGACCGGAAUCUGAGCUUCAACGGCCAGGCAGUGAGAUCAACAGCCCGUCUAGACUCUGCUUUUGAACGGUUUCCAGGAAGUAUGAUUUCUGAAUGGGUACUGCACUUCACAGAUUUAUUUGAAUUGCCCAUGCAGCUCUGUGUUUGUUAAAGUGCAUUCUUCUUUUAAAAAAUAAGAGGAAUAAUCUUUACUCUUUAACCAAGGUACUUAAAAAAAUGAACUUUUUGGUCUCUCAGCAGAUAUUCCCAAAUUGAUCCUAUCACUACAAAUUUUAGUGUUCUAUUUACAAAUAUUUAUAGGGUAACAGGUGGAGGGGAUCUUAUAAAAUUAAAGGUGCAGCUUCUCUUGAAGCAGAGAGAUCAGUUCUACAAAUUCAUACGUAGGAAUACACACUUGGUUUACAAUGCACAAGCAUGUGGAUAUUUACACAGAGACUGAAGACAUCCCAAAAAACCCCCUUUAAAGGAACUUCCAAUCUAAACUCUAGUGGUACAUCUAGAUCAGGAAGCUCUGUCUCCUGCUAUCAAGAUUUGGUUUUAACUCAUUCAAAUUACUUCUGCAGAUUCGCUACUGGCAGGACAUGAGUCCCAACUUUGGAGUGAGGAAGAAUCUAGUCUAAGGAGGCCCCUGGCAGACAUAACCGGCAGUGAAGGAAGUAUGUUAUCUGGACAUUUCUAUCAGAAGAUGAACAGACUUCUAACAAUGGUCUUGGAAAAAACAUCUGCAGGAAGGUGCAAAAGGAAGAAUAAAUCCCUACUAAUCAUUCCAGAACUUUAGAAAAAAGUCCAAAUACACUGAUAAUCUUAGUUAUUAUUCAAAUAUUGAUAUCAUUGAAAAAAGAACCCUCAAAUUUACUUAUCUGCUACCAUAACAUACAAAACUAUAGACUCUUUUUAAGUAUGCCCUGUACUUAUUUAAAAUCAUUUUCUUGGGGGAGGGAGGGAAAAAUAAAAAAGAAAAUCAGUUUCUAGACUUUUGUCCAAUCUAUUAACUUCUAGGGAUCCAGAGAGCUUUUGCCACAGAGGUGACAUGUGGGCUGGGAGAGGGUUUAAGCCUCAUAUCUGAACAGUUUAAAAUGUACCUGUUUUUCAAUUUUCAACUUUCUCUCCCCAGUUAUGUCCCUGAAAAAGGAAUUUUAAAAGAGGAAAAAUCUACUACUUGCCAUUCUAGUUCCAAAUAUGGGUGAGGAUUUUUUAAGCCCAGUCUGAUCUUGCAAUGUAGGGCAAGCCCAGGGAUGAGAGUUUGCCUUAAGAAAUAAGAGAUCAUCUAAAUCAAUUUCUUCAACGACUCAGCCACUGAUGUAUUAGAGCAGGGAU
rnacentral:lncRNA from 1 species